rnacentral:rRNA from 1 species
AAUGNAAGUCGAGCGGUAGAGAGAAGCUUGCUUCUCUUGAGAGCGGCGGACGGNGCAUUAAUACCUAGGAAUCUGCCUGAUAGUGGGGGAUAACGUUCUGGAAACGGACGCUAAUACCGCAUACGUCCUACGGGAGAAAGCAGGGGACCUUCGGGCCUUGCGCUAUCAGAUGAGCCUAGGUCGGAUUAGCUAGUUGGUGAGGUAAUGGCUCACCAAGGCUACGAUCCGUAACUGGUCUGAGAGGAUGAUCAGUCACACUGGAACUGAGACACGGUCCAGACUCCUACGGGAGGCAGCAGUGGGGAAUAUUGGACAAUGGGCGAAAGCCUGAUCCAGCCAUGCCGCGUGUGUGAAGAAGGUCUUCGGAUUGUAAAGCACUUUAAGUUGGGAGGAAGGGCAGUUACCUAAUACGUGACUGUCUUGACGUUACCGACAGAAUAAGCACCGGCUAACUCUGUGCCAGCAGCCGCGGUAAUACAGAGGGUGCAAGCGUUAAUCGGAAUUACUGGGCGUAAAGCGCGCGUAGGUGGUUUGUUAAGUUGAAUGUGAAAUCCCCGGGCUCAACCUGGGAACUGCAUCCAAAACUGGCAAGCUAGAGUAUGGUAGAGGGUAGUGGAAUUUCCUGUGUAGCGGCGAAAUGCAUACAUAUAGGAA